CAUUCUCACAAAACAAAAUGUUUAAGAUACGGACACAGGGACACAGAUUGCGUUAGAGAGAGAAACCUCGGAUCCAAAUUGUUCUUCUAAAGUUCUUAUUCUAACAACAACUAACCGUAUCUAUUGUCGAACUCUUUCUUCCCUUUGAAUAUGAUAUAUAUAAUAUGCAACUUUGAAUUGUGAGAUAUAGUGUGCAUGUGAAGACAAUGACAUUUCCCAGAAAAAAGUGUUUCUUAAAGACCCAGCAAAAAUUCAUGCCUUUGAUUCCUGAAUACACACACUCCCUUCAAUGCCAACACCAAUACCAUCUUCAUGAUUACGAUUGCAAUUUGUUUCUGUUUGGUGGGGGGAUCUUAAAAAUUUGAGCUUGGAUGCAAUGUGGGUUGAAUUAGGGCAGUUAUAGGAGUCCUACAUGUCAGAGUGAUCCUCUUGGAUCUUCUACACAAUGGCAUUGUUCCGCAAGUUCUUCUAUAAGAAGCCCCCAGAUGGGCUUCUUGAAAUCACUGAAAGGGUUUAUGUCUUUGAUUACUGCUUUACCACGGAUGUUAUGGAAGAAGAUGAAUAUAGAGUGUAUAUAGGAGGAAUAAUUGGGCAACUUCGUGGUCACUUCCCCGAUGCUUCAUUUAUGGUGUUCAACAUGCGGGAGGGAGAUAGCCAAAGCCAGAUUUCAAACAUUUUGUGUGACUAUGAUAUGACUGUGAUAGACUAUCCUCAACAGUAUGAAGGUUGCCCAUUACUUACCAUGGAGAUGAUCCACCAUUUCUUGAGAUCAGGUGAAAACUGGCUUCAACUUGGCAACAAAAUGUUGUCUUGAUGCACUGUGAACGAGGUGGUUGGCCAUUAUUAGCAUUUAUGCUGGCUGCGCUCUUGAUUUAUAGAAAGUUGUUUACAGGGGAGCAGAAAACACUAGACAUGAUAUACAAGCAAGCUCCUUGGGAACUUUUGCAGUUGAUGUCACCGUUGAAUCCUUUACCUUCACAAUUGAGGUAUCUUCAGUACAUAUCAAGAAGAAAUGUUGGUUCAGAAUGGCCUCCUCUUGAUAGGGCACUUACUUUGGACUGUGUAAUUAUAAGACUCAUUCCUAAUAUGGGUGGAGAGGGUGGCUGCCGUCCUAUAUUUAGGAUGUAUGGACAGGACCCUUUUAUUCCUGCAGAUCGAACUCCCAAAGUUCUCUUUUCAACUCCAAAAAGGAGCAAACUUGUCCGCUAUUACAAGCAGGCUGAUUGUGAACUAGUUAAGAUUGACAUCCAUUGUCAUGUUCAAGGUGAUGUCGUUUUUGAGUGUAUUCAUCUGAACAGUGAUUUAGAGCAUGAAGAAAUGAUGUUUCGGGUGAUGUUUAAUACAGCAUUCAUAAGAUCAAAUAUUUUGAUGCUUAACCGUGAUGAGCUUGACAUAUUAUGGAAUGCUAAAGACUACUUUCCUAAAAACUUUAGAGUGGAGGUUCUUUUCUCAGAUAUGGAAGCUUCGUCUUCUGUUAUUUCAAUUGAUCUGCCUCAUGUUGAGGAAAAAGAAGGCCUACCUGUUGAAGCAUUUGCUAAGGUCAAGGAAAUUUUCAGCAAUGUGGACUGGCUAGAUUCAAAGGCAGAGGUAGCAAGUGUGCUCCAACAGAUCACAGCAUCAAAUAUCCUUCUUGAAAGAUUGGACAGUGGGGUUUCUGCUUCAACAAGUGGCUUGCGAAAGGAGUCAUCUGGAAAAUUUAAACUUGAUUCGGAGAAACACAGUGAUUCAAAGAAUCUGACUUCAACAGUUCAGGAGAAACUUUCUAUGUCCUCCAUGGGAUCAUCAGUGGAUGUUCCUAUGGAUAAUAAGACAGAACCAUUACAAUCAAAGGCAUUGCCAGGAAAUAACAUUGAGAGUCUUGAAUGUUUAGGUCAGGGGAACCAACCUAUUGCCUCAUUUGGGCUCUCAACAGAUUCAGAUUCUACCGAAAAGGCACACAAUGAUUCAAAGAAUCUGACUUCAACAGUUCAGGAGAAAGUUUCCACCUCCCCCUUGGGAUCAUCAGUGGAUGUUCCUACGGAAAAUAAGACAGAACCAUUACAAUCAAAGGCAUUGUCAGGAAAUAACUUUGAGAGUUUUGAGUGUUUGGGUCAGGGGAACCAACCUAUUCCCUCAUUUGGGCCCUCAACAGAUUCAGAUUCUUUUAAAAAGGAGGUUGAAUCAUUAGAAACAAAACAAUCAUUGGAAAAUGAUACCAAGUUUACUGCAUGUAUGGCUCACGAGAAUCAAUCUAUCCCCUUAAUUGAGACAUCAAUGGAUGCAAAUUUAAUAAAAAAGGAGAGUGGAUCAUUAGAAUCCAAGGAGAAGGAUAUUGAGUCAUUAGCAUCAAAGAAUCUUUUGGAAAAUGACACCAUGUGUCCUACAUCUGUAGCCCAGGGGAAACAAUCUGUUCCCUUAAUUGAACCAUCCACUGAUUCAGAUUCAUUGGAAAAGAAGACUGGUUUGUUAGGGUCAAAGGAGAAAGCAAUUGAAUCACUAAACUCAGAGGCAUUGUUGGAAAAUGGUAGCAGAUUAAAAUUUGAGCCAAAGCCACUUCCAGAAAUUGAUACAAGAAGUCCUACUUCUGAAGUUGAAGGGAAACGUUCUAUGUCCUCAUCUGAAUCUUCUAGUAAUGCUCCUAUGGAAAAGUACAAAGAUCCUCUAGAAUUAAAGGCAUCGCCAGAAGAUAACAUCAAGACUCUUGCAUCCAUGAGUCAGGGGAAACAACUUAUUCCCUCAUUUGGACUCUCAACAGAUUGUAGUUUUACUGAAAUACCAAUUGUAUCAUUAGAAUCAAAGGCAUUGGUGGAAAACAAUGCCAAGGUUCCUACAUCUAUGGCUCAUGGGGAGCAGUCUAUGCCCUUAAUUGAACCAUCAAAAGAUGAAAAUUCAAUGAAACAGAAGAUGGGAUCAUUAGAGUCAAAGGAAAAGGAUACUGAAUCAUUAGAAUCAAAGUCAUUGUUGGAAGAUGAUACCAACUGUCCUCCAUCUAUUGCUCAGGGUAAGCAAUCUUUUCCCUUAAUUCAACCAUCGACUGAUGAAAAUUCAACGAAAAAGAUGGGACAAUUAGAACAAAUGGUAUUGCCUGAAAAUGAUGUCAAGAGUGUCAAAUCCACAGUUCAGAGGAAACAAUAUGAUCCCUUACUUGAGCCGCCCAUUGAUGCAAACCUAAUUAGAAAAAAGAUUGAACCUCAAGAAUUGCAGGUUGCACUUCAGCUUCCCACUCAAUCUAAAAUAAUUUCACCAUGGGUGCGUCCAGCUGUUCGAUCUGCUUCAGCUUCUUAUUUUAACUCCUUGCAAGGUUCACCUGUAGCUAUCUCAAGGUAUCAUAGUGCACCAUCAGCUCUUGGAAUAACAUCUGUGUUGCAGGAUCAUGCACCAAUGGAUAUCAAAGAAGUCACUCAUGCAGUGACAGUAUCUCCUCUGCCUUCUACUUUGCCUCCUUCUGACUCCAAGGUGCAAAAUUCUUUAGAGCCUAGUUCUACCAUUGUUCCUCCAACAUCAUCACCACCAUUGCUUCCAUCUUUACCAUUAAAAACUUCAGUUGAUGCUCUUACUGCCAUGGAAAAGACUUUUGGAUCCUUUGCUCCUGCAGCUGUCACUGCUCUUCCACCACCACCACCACCACCUCCUCCUCCUCAGAGCGAGCAUACUUCAAAAUUGAUGCAAUCUAAUGUUACACAGUACCCUGAAAAUACAAUGCUAGAUGAAGGUAAGAAAUCAUUGGUUAGUCCUCCUCCAUCCCUUUCAAUGCCUGCUCCUCCAACCACAUCUCUUUCUUCUCCAUCAUCUGCCACAAAGAGCUCAUCCUUAUCUCAUCCUCCACCCCCUUCCCUUCCUGGAACAUCACUUUCCACUGCCAAAGAUGCAUUUAAAGGUCCUCCUCCACCACCGCCUCCACCUACCCCUCCACCUUCAACCAAUCAGGCUUCGUCAUCCUUGAUACCUCCUCCUCCUCCUCCACUGCCUGGGUUUCCUUAUUCAGCCUCUCACCCUCUUUCUUCUUCAUCGAGUAUGAGCAAGUCUGUUGCUACACCUGGCCCUCCUCCCCCACCUCCACCUCCUAGUCAUUCUGGUUCUACUCCAUCACCAUUAGCACCACCCCCCCCCCCUCCUCCAGCUUCCGCAUCCCAAAAUUCUUUGUCUAAGAACUCUGCAAAUGUUCCACCUCCCCCACCUCCCCUUUCUGCCAAUGGGUUGUCAAAAUCUGCAGUUCCUGGACCACCUUCUGCUCCGUUUAGUGCAAAGGGACGUGGCAGCCUGUUGCGAGCUAAUCCAAAAGGUCAAUCUCAGACUAAAAGGAGCAAUCUGAAACCUUACCAUUGGUUAAAAUUAACGAGGGCCAUGCAAGGAAGCUUAUGGGCUGAGACACAGAAACUAGAUGAAUUUUGUAGGGCUCCAGAGUUUGACAUGUCAGAACUUGAGAGUUUGUUCUCUGCAGCUGCACCAAAUUCUAAUGAUGGAAAAGGAGGAAAAUUGAAUCGCCGCUCCUCGCAAAAAGUUGACAAAGUUCAAUUGAUUGAGCUCAGGCGGGCGUAUAACUGUGAGAUCAUGCUCACAAAAGUCAAAAUCCCUUUGCCUGAUCUGAUGUGUGCUGUGCUUGCAUUGGAUGAUUCAGUAUUGGAUGUUGAUCAAGUUGAGAACCUCAUAAAAUUCUCUCCAACCAAAGAAGAGAUGGAAACGCUGAAGAACUAUAAUGGGGAUAAGGACAACUUGGGAAAGUGUGAACAGUUCUUCUUAGAAUUAAUGAAAGUGCCAAGAGUGGAAAACAAGCUAAGAGUUUUUGCUUUCAAGAUGCAAUUCUUAUCCCAGGUUUCAGAGCUUAAAAGGGACUUGAAUAUUGUAAAUAAUGCAUCUGAACAGAUAAGGAAUUCAGUCAAAUUGAAAAGAAUCAUGCAGACCAUUCUUUCUCUGGGUAAUGCUUUGAACCAUGGAACUGCAAGAGGUUCAGCUGUUGGGUUUCGAUUGGAUAGUCUCCUUAAACUCACUGAUACACGAGCCAAAAAUAACAAGAUGACUCUUAUGCAUUAUCUUUGUAAGGUGCUUGCCGAAAAGCUUCCAGAACUUCUAGAUUUCCACAAAGACCUAGGGAGCUUGGAGGCUGCAACCAAGAUACAAUUAAAAUAUUUGGCAGAGGAAAUGCAAGCUGUUAGUAAAGGACUGGAGAAAGUAGUUCAGGAAUUGACUGCAUCAAAGAAUGAUGGACCUGUGUCGGAGAACUUCUGCCAGAUUCUGAUGGAAUUUCUUUCUUAUGCUGAGGCUGAAGUGAGGUCUUUGGCUCAACUUUAUGCCAAUGUGGGUAGAAAUGCAGAUGCAUUGGCUUUGUACUUUGGCGAAGAUCCAGCACGUGUCCCAUUUGAACAAGUUGUAUCUACUCUCCUCAACUUUGUGAGAAUGUUCAUAAAAGCGCUUGAAGAAAAUUGCAAGCAGAUUGAAUUAGAAAAAAAGAAAGCAGAUAAGGAAGCAGAAAGUGAGAAGUUGAAGCUAGCUGCUGCUAAAAAGGAGUCUGAACAGAUGAUAAGGACCACCAUAAAGAGUGGGAAUAUUAAAUGAUAAGAUCUUUUAAGACCUCAAAACAAGUGUUGUUCCACAGUGAUAAAGUUGCCAUCUGGUUGGAUUAAGAGAACCCUUUGCACAAGUGCAAAGUAAUCUUGUUCCUGACUGCAUUGGCAUCGAUGAUGGCCCAAUAACUGAAGUUCUCUAAUGCAAGAAAUUUGAUGGUCAUGGCAUAUGGCCGAGGAUUAUAUUCAUGUUAAGUAGUAAUCCUUCUCAAAGCUCGUUUUAUGUUGAGAUCUAUACAAGACAUAGUCACGAGUUUUUAAUUAACCUUCAUUUCAUUGUCAAUUGGUUCCAUGUCCAGCGGAAAAGCAGUUUUUUAUGGUGUUCACUUCAGUAAGAAGUGAACUCUUUCAGUGUACAAAGUAUUCGAUUUAGUUUUUCUCUGCCAGUCCAAAAUUGUGCACUAAUGUUAGCAGUGUAAAUGUUGAUCCAGUGGUAUAUCCCCCACACUCAUAAGAUAGAGUAGUUUUUAAGUUUUACUUUAACUUAAGAGUUCUUAGAGGCACCUAUACUGAGAUUUUUCAUUUUAGGCCAUUAUGCUCUACAUGCACUGAUAAAGGCAAAUGAUUUGUAAAUAUUGAACUAUUGGUUAGAAUCCAUGUUAUUCAUUUUACUGAGUCAUCCUUUAUUUUAA